AUUGAACACUGGCGGCAGGCCUAACACAUGCAAGUCGAACGAGUGGCGGACGGGUGAGUAAUGUCUGGGAAACUGCCUGAUGGCGGGGGAUAACUACUGGAAACGGUAGCUAAUACCGCAUACCAUCAGAUGUGCCCAGAUGGGAUUUGCUUGUUGGUGGAGUAACGGCUCACCAAGGCGACGAUCCCUAGCUGGUCUGAGAGGAUGACCAACCACACGUGAACUGGGUCACGGUCCAGACGCCUACGGGAGGCAGCAGGGGGGAAUAUUGCACAAUGGGCGCAAGCCUGAUGCAGCCGUGCCAGGUUUAUGAAGAAGGCCUUCGGGUUGUAAAGUACUUUCAGCGGGGAGGCGGUACCCGCAGAAGAAGCACCGGCUAACACCGUGCCAGCCGCCGCGGUGAUUC
rnacentral:rRNA from 1 species